GGCCUACGUUUUGGACGAAACGUUGUGUACGUUUUGGUGAUCUUAACCGCAUGGCAAAAAGUAACCUGUAUGGCACGAGGUAACAUUUUCAUAUCCAUCUUAACCCACGACCAUGCAAUUCCAUCUCCAUACCUGCCAAAGCGGGCAAAAGUAGCACUGGCGAUAUGUUACCCAAUACUAAAUAUCGUAUUCAAUGUUAAGUUAUAAUAUUUACCAAUGUAAUAAAUUAUCGUUGGAAACAUAAUGAGAAACUCCAGCGAAUACACAAUUUGCAGGAAAUAGUAAUGGUGGAAGGUUGUCUCGGCCCAAGCAUGAUCCAUUAUUGAAAAGAAUGCCAAAAAAAUAGCAUUUCCUAAAACAUAGAAUGCAAUUGUAUGUUAAUGACUCAAUGCAUGCAAGUAGAUCCUAUGAAAUUUCGGACUAGACUACAAGGGACACAAAACCAUCACCUGCAUGCAUGAGGACAAUAACGAAUUAUAAAAUAAAGCAAGUAUCUUAUUCUCAAGAAAUACGAGAUAUUAAGUAUAUGGUGUAAUUUGGAUACUCAUAUCAUGC